GAUGAACGCUGGCGGCGUGCCUAAUACAUGCAAGUCGAGCGAACAGACGAGGAGCUUGCUCCUCUGACGUUAGCGGCGGACGGGUGAGUAACACGUGGAUAACCUACCUAUAAGACUGGGAUAACUUCGGGAAACCGGAGCUAAUACCGGAUAAUAUAUUGAACCGCAUGGUUCAAUAGUGAAAGACGGUUUUGCUGUCACUUAUAGAUGGAUCCGCGCCGCAUUAGCUAGUUGGUAAGGUAACGGCUUACCAAGGUAACGAUGCGUAGCCGACCUGAGAGGGUGAUCGGCCACACUGGAACUGAGACACGGUCCAGACUCCUACGGGAGGCAGCAGUAGGGAAUCUUCCGCAGUGGUCGAAAGCCUGACGGAGCAACGCCGCGUGAGUGAUGAAGGUCUUCGGAUCGUAAAACGCUGUUAUUAGGGAAGAACAAAUGUGUAAGUAACUAUGCACGUCUUGACGGUACCUAAUCAGAAAGCCACGGCUAACUACGU
rnacentral:rRNA from 1 species